GGCGAACGCUGGCGGCGUGCCUAAUACAUGCAAGUCGAACGAACUCUGGUAUUGAUUGGUGCUUGCAUCAUGAUUUACAUUUGAGUGAGUGGCGAACUGGUGAGUAACACGUGGGAAACCUGCCCAGAAGCGGGGGAUAACACCUGGAAACAGAUGCUAAUACCGCAUAACAACUUGGACCGCAAGGUCCGAGCUUGAAAGAUGGCUUCGGCUAUCACUUUUGGAUGGUCCCGCGGCGUAUUAGCUAGAUGGUGGGGUAACGGCUCACCAUGGCAAUGAUACGUAGCCGACCUGAGAGGGUAAUCGGCCACAUUGGGACUGAGACACGGCCCAAACUCCUACGGGAGGCAGCAGUAGGGAAUCUUCCACAAUGGACGAAAGUCUGAUGGAGCAACGCCGCGUGAGUGAAGAAGGGUUUCGGCUCGUAAAACUCUGUUGUUAAAGAAGAACAUAUCUGAGAGUAACUGUUCAGGUAUUGACGGUAUUUAACCAGAAAGCCACGGCUAACUACGUGCCAGCAGCCGCGGUAAUACGUAGGUGGCAAGCGUUGUCCGGAUUUAUUGGGCGUAAAGCGAGCGCAGGCGGUUUUUUAAGUCUGAUGUGAAAGCCUUCGGCUCAACCGAAGAAGUGCAUCGGAAACUGGGAAACUUGAGUGCAGAAGAGGACAGUGGAACUCCAUGUGUAGCGGUGAAAUGCGUAGAUAUAUGGAAGAACACCAGUGGCGAAGGCGGCUGUCUGGUCUGUAACUGACGCUGAGGCUCGAAAGUAUGGGUAGCAAACAGGAUUAGAUACCCUGGUAGUCCAUACCGUAAACGAUGAAUGCUAAGUGUUGGAGGGUUUCCGCCCUUCAGUGCUGCAGCUAACGCAUUAAGCAUUCCGCCUGGGGAGUACGGCCGCAAGGCUGAAACUCAAAGGAAUUGACGAGGGCCCGCACAAGCGGUGGAGCAUGUGGUUUAAUUCGAAGCUACGCGAAGAACCUUACCAGGUCUUGACAUACUAUGCAAAUCUAAGAGAUUAGACGUUCCCUUCGGGGACAUGGAUACAGGUGGUGCAUGGUUGUCGUCAGCUCGUGUCGUGAGAUGUUGGGUUAAGUCCCGCAACGAGCGCAACCCUUAUUAUCAGUUGCCAGCAUUAAGUUGGGCACUCUGGUGAGACUGCCGGUGACAAACCGGAGGAAGGUGGGGAUGACGUCAAAUCAUCAUGCCCCUUAUGACCUGGGCUACACACGUGCUACAAUGGAUGGUACAACGAGUUGCGAACUCGCGAGAGUAAGCUAAUCUCUUAAAGCCAUUCUCAGUUCGGAUUGUAGGCUGCAACUCGCCUACAUGAAGUCGGAAUCGCUAGUAAUCGCGGAUCAGCAUGCCGCGGUGAAUACGUUCCCGGGCCUUGUACACACCGCCCGUCACACCAUGAGAGUUUGUAACACCCAAAGUCGGUGGGGUAACCUUUUAGGAACCAGCCGCCUAAGGUGGGACAGAUGAUUAGGGUG
rnacentral:rRNA from 1 species